CUUAAUUGACGAGAAGGAAACAGGUAUUUAAUGAAGCCUUUUUUUUUAGGGUUUAUUAUUAUUGCUGAUAAUUACUCUGUCGUCUCUGUUCAAAAAAUUUCCUAGGGAGGGUACAUGCUGCAACUGCAAUGUUCAAUAGAAGUUUUUAGGAUAGUUUUAUAAUUAGACGAAACUUUUAGCUAGCAUUAUGUAUAUAAAAGGAUCAUAUUUUGGAUUAUUCUUUUGCCCAGAGAACAUUAUACAUUCACUAGCCAUGCUUACAGAGCUAUUUUGAAGAGCUAUUAGCUGCAAUCCUGAAGUUUUAAAUUGAGUCUAUUAAUUCAGUGACACAUGCACUCACCGAAGAUUCAGACUUUUUUUUUUCUCUUUUUUGAGGAGGGGGG
rnacentral:misc_RNA from 1 species